rnacentral:rRNA from 1 species
GGCGGCGUGCUUAACACAUGCAAGUCGAACGAUGACGAUGGUGCUUGCACCGUCUGAUUAGUGGCGAACGGGUGAGUAACACGUGAGUAACCUGCCCUCCUCUUCGGGAUAACCGCCGGAAACGGUGGCUAAUACCGGAUAUGAAUGCCUGCCGCAUGGUGGGUGUUGGAAAGAUUUAUCGGUGGGGGAUGGACUCGCGGCCUAUCAGUUUGUUGGUGAGGUAAUGGCUCACCAAGGCGAUGACGGGUAGCCGGCCUGAGAGGGCGACCGGCCACACUGGGACUGAGACACGGCCCAGACUCCUACGGGAGGCAGCAGUGGGGAAUAUUGCACAAUGGGCGAAAGCCUGAUGCCAGCGACGCCGCGUGGGGGAUGACGGCCUUCGGGUUGUAAACCUCUUUCAGCAGGGAAGAAGCGAGAGUGACGGUACCUGCAGAAGAAGCGCCGGCUAACUACGUGCCAGCCGCUGC